rnacentral:RNase_P_RNA from 1 species
CCAGACGGCUGGAUGACUGCUCCCGGGGUUCCUCGGGGGAGGAAAGUCCGGGCUCCACGGAAACACGGUGCCGGGUAACGCCCGGCGGAGGCGACUCCAGGGAUAGUGCCGCAGAAAACAAACCGCCGGCGCGAACGCUCCGGCAAGGGUGAAACGGUGCGGUAAGAGCGCACCGCGUCUUCGGCGACGGAGACGGCACGGUAAACCCCACCGGGAGCAAGACCGAAUAGGGACGGCGUGGCCCGUGACCGGGCCGAUGGUGUUUCCGCCUCCGUCCGGGCCGGUCGCGUGAGGCACGCGGUAACGCAUGCCCCAGAUGAAUGGUCAUCCUUGACAGAACCCGGCUUACAGGCUGUCUGGCGCC